CUGCGCCUUCUUUUUUCUUCCUUUCCUUUACACUCUCACAAUUUCUAUUCUAUCUCCGGUGCUCAAGCCUGCAAACAUAUUUUUCAAUGCAGAGGUAAGAUUCAAAUGCAUAAUGCCAGAACUGAUGUAUGGUCUCCUUUCGUUUUCGUUACUUUCACUCAUUUGUUGGGCUUUCAAGCUGCAAAAAGUGAAUAUCUUCUGAGUAAGUAAUUUUUUUUUUCUUUCAUUCUCUUCCCAUAUACCAUGUUAAACUGACUAUUCUUUCUUUUCUUAUUUUUCUUUUUAAGUAGUUUAAUGGAAUUAUUUUUCGGUGAAUGGGAAAUCAAAAUAGCAGGAAGGAAGAAAACCUAAUCUGACAGUCUCCAAAACACAGACGUUUGAAUUCAAAGUGGCCAUUGAAUUUUCUGACAACAUAAGUCAGAUACAAAAUUGUGAACAGAGGCUUUCUCUGUCUGAGAAGAGUGUUGGUUCCUUGAUGCACACUAUAAAUACAUGGAAUUUUACGUAACACAAUCAAAACACUUAGAAUUUUCCAUCGUUAUUCAUAGUUUCUUUGAAGAAAACACAUCUUGCAGAUACAAAUUUUGUUCAAGUUCAAUCGUGGGUUUGGUUCACUCCUUCCAAUUGACAAUGAAUGAAUGAAUGAUGUAGAAUUUUGAGGCUUCUGAGGUCAAGACAUUUAUCUAUGAAUAUUACGCGACAACAAGUGAUGCAUGAUUUAGACACAUAGGAAAAACAAGUUAUAUCAGUUGUUUUUCGCUUCAUUUCAAAGAUGUAAUGAGACAAUAAGUUAUAUCAGUUGAGAGCAUAUGGAAAAGCAACUAUAACAUGUUAAA